rnacentral:lncRNA from 1 species
AAACAUAACCACUCAAAUAUAUAUAUAUAUAUAUAUUCACACACCUCAACAGUACAACAGUACAUGUGUGUUACAAUUCUUGGGUAAAACAAAAUAUAGGGAGAUGAGACCAACACAAACUUAGACCAACACAAAUAUCUCUGGGUCAACUAGGACAGCAAGACACAUUUGAGAUACACAUUUGACAACCACCAUCAUGUGCAUAAUAUGUAUAUCAGUAGUCUAGGCAUGGGCUGCAACUCCUAGCCAAUAGAAAGGCUCCACAAAGGCAACACACUAGAGAAGGAAUGGGCAGCCAUACCAGCCAAGGGAGAUGGAUUUCUGAUAUUAAGAGGGGAAAGAGAAGAGCAAGCCACUCCUAAGACUUCACACGUCUCCAUUCUUCCCCAAAUAGCCAGACCAUCAGCUUGUCUUCCUCCCACUGUCUUCAUCUCUCUACCUGCAAUCAACAAAGAUCCAAGAACAACAAGUGAGGAUGGUGACCUGAGCAGUCAGCAGUAGACCGAAGGGGACAAGCUGGAGCUAGAAGCUAGCCUAGAGGGUGGAGUCUGAACGUAGGAAGAAAGGUGAGUUCUUGCAUCUUCUAGUUUCCGCAUAUAAAAGGAAAUCUUGCACGUUGCACACACAAUAUUCCUCACUAGUUCUUCACAGAUGCACACAAAAGCUAAAUCAUUUCAGUAGUGUCAUCCAUCCCAGAUCUUGGAAGCAACAGUACAAGAAAGCAUAAAUAGUGCCUUAACCAAGUAUAAUAAAAGGAGACAAGAUAUUGUACAUCAUCAGUACACAAACAUCCUUCACAGGAGGAAUUGGUUCAGUACACACAUGCACAUGAGACUAAAUUAAUUUACAAAAUCUGAGAACUUAGCAUAGAAAAAAAAAAUAGGGAGAUGAACAAGGGCAUCACUAACCUGCACUUAUGCUCGAUCUGCUCCAUGGCCAUGCCCUUGGAACUCUGAUCUGCAACACCCAGCGGCACCGCGGCCGCCAACGCCGGCAGCUUCGAUCUGGAGCAGCGGAAUCACAGCCCAACGAGAGCCUCACCUGCAAGUCAAAUCUGAGAGGGGAUUAGAGAGUUUGGGGCUGAAUCCUGAAAAAAAUAAGGGAUUUGGAUCAGGGGAGAGAGAGAGGGUGGAAGGGCCAGCAGCGACGGAGCAGCAUGUUUCCCCGUCGCCGGCGGCAUGGCCGGUCUGGCUAGAUUAGGAGCAGAGGAAUAGGAGGGAGAGAAGACAUGUACGUGUGUUCUGUUCUUGGUGGACUAGUACUGGUGUGUGUUGUGUUCGGUGGAGGACUAGUACAGGAGAGAGAGAGAGAGACUUGGAAAUUGAGAAAGGGAGAGGGCACGUGUAGGAUUGUGGUCUAGUAAUUACCAGGUGCACAUCUAAUAAUUAACUAUUCUAAAUCCACCUAAUGCAAGCUUAGUAAAAAAAUACUAGGUAAUAAAAGAAAUAAUAAUGUUUGACUGUAGGAUGACCACACUGCACCGACGUAUAUUUUUUAUUCCUUUGUAUUCACUCGACUUAGUCUCGAAAUAUAUAUAUUUGCCGAACCGUAGGAAGCGAAUACAGUCCGAAGAAGGAGGCGCUACAGAAGCAAAUCGAGUCCGGAUCUGAGUACGAAAACUCAGGCAAGCUCUUCUUGAUCAUGCUGACUAGAGCUAUUUAAAAAAGACAAUAUUUUCUGCUGUACCUUAUCAUCGACUUGCAUAAAAUGCUUUUGAGAUAAGUUGUGUGGAGUGAGUGUUGGCAAUAGUUGGGUUAGCUGAUGGAGCAGCUAAUCCAUUUUUUUAUAAUUAUUUGGUGGGUAGAGGGUGCCCGGAAUGGAUAUACUGAAAGAUGGGGCCCUCUACAUAUGGCUAUGAUAUUAAUAUUAAAUAACUUUCACUCGUUUUAUGCGCCGUACAACCGUAUCAACCAUGGUCUCGUCUAUGACGGGUUGAGCCCAUUACCCAUCAAGUUAUUAUACUCUCCACAUGGGUAAGUAGUAGUAGGAUGGGCGAUGAGUCCCAAGCUAAUGCCGGAUGGGUGCAUUAGCAAGCGUUAUAUAUUAAGCGUUGGUGGAGUGCGGGUUCCGAAACCCGACACAACGGCUAGUGACACUAGCCGGGUGGAGAUAUAAUAUACAUAAUGGGAAAAAGCUUAGGUUCUAAACCAUGUCUCGCAUCUAAGGAAAUGCAGAUGGCAAUUAUGGUUUCGGGCUCUAUGGGUAAAGUGAUACAAACUCUGCAGAGUUAAAGAAAAACAUGAAUUCAUGCCAGUCUCUUGGAUUGAAGACUACAGGGACCUAUUGGUGGUCUAUCUCGCAAUACGAGUGUUUGAUAGCUUUUAUAAAUUAAAACGAACUUUCUACAACAAAUGUUUAUUUAUUUAAUUAUUUUAGAAGAGUUGAGUUGAGGUAGGACUUGUUGAUUUAUAUGGAGCUAUCAUGAGUGUUGCAUUCUUCUAUUUGAGCUUGCUGAGUACUUUGUACUCACUCUUGCUAUUAAUCAUCUCUUUCUUAGAGCAAAGCUUUUAUGAGAAUCCUGCUGGACCAAGUGAGGAGAGCAAUGGUGAUGGCUAAAACUACACAGGGGACCUAGAUGUGGAUCCAUCUAGUGCUAUGUAUGAUCUGGAUGCCACAUAUGGGGGCUGGGAUGAAUAAGUAACUCAUGAUCUAGCUAUGUAAUUCCAUGAACUAUUUUAUCACCACCUAUCUAGUAUUUCUAGUUGGAACCCCAGUGUUAGGAGAUGUAAUAAUUUGGCGAAUGUGUGAGAAGCCUACCUGAGACUUUUAGCCCUGCGUGGCAUGGUAUUGUAAUAUAAAUUACCAUCUCUAGCUA